GACUGCACGGGAUAAUCGAUUAUCCCGUGCGGUCCGCUUAAGACAACCGCACGGGAUAAUCCUAUUAUCCCGUGUGGUU
rnacentral:pre_miRNA from 18 species